rnacentral:rRNA from 1 species
GACGAACGCUGGCGGCGUGCUUAACACAUGCACGUCGAGCGGAGCGGCGGACGGGUGAGUAAUGCCUAGGAAUCUGCCUGGUAGUGGGGGAUAACGUACGGAAACGGGCGCUCAUACCGCAUACUAUCAGAUGAGCCUAGGUCGGAUUAGCUAGUUGGUGGGGGAAAGGCCGACCAAGGCGACGAUCCGUAACUGGUCUGAGAGGAUGAUCAGUCACACUGGAACUGAGACACGGUCCAGACUCCUACGGGAGGCAGCAGUGGGGAAUAUUGGACAAUGGGCGAAAGCCUGAUCCAGCCAUGCCGAGUGUGUGAAGAAGGUCGUCGGAUUGUAAAGCACUUUAAGUUGGGAGGCGUUACCAACAGAAUAAGCACCGGCUAACUUCGUGCCAGCCGCCGCGGUAAUAC